CUGUUACUCCCUCCGGCCGGUAUUACUUGUCGAAAUAUUACAUGUAUCUAAACGCUUUUUAAACAUAGAUACAUCCAUUUUUGGGCAAAUAUGAGACACGUAAUAUGGGUCGGAGGGAGUAGUUA
rnacentral:pre_miRNA from 1 species